rnacentral:rRNA from 1 species
AGUGAACGCUGGCGGCAGGCCUAAUACAUGCAAGUCGAACGGCAGCACAGCAGAGCUUGCUCUGUGGGUGGCGAGUGGCGGACGGGUGAGGAAUACAUGGGAAUCUGCCCAGUCGUGGGGGAUAACGUAUGGAAACGUACGCUAAUACCGCAUGCGCCCUAAGGGGGAAAGCCGGGGACCGCAAGGCCUGGCGCGAUUGGAUGAGCCCAUGUUCGAUUAGCUAGUUGGCGGGGUAAAGGCCCACCAAGGCGACGAUCGAUAGCUGGUCUGAGAGGAUGAUCAGCCACACUGGAACUGAGACACGGUCCAGACUCCUACGGGAGGCAGCAGUAGGGAAUAUUGGACAAUGGGCGCAAGCCUGAUCCAGCAAUGCCGCGUGCAGG